ensembl:snRNA U6 U6 spliceosomal RNA
GUGCUCUCUUCCCCAGCACAUAUACUAAAACGGGAAUGAUGCAGUGAAGAUUAGCAUGGCUCCUGCACAAGGAUGACACGCAAACUUGUAAAGUGUUCAUAUUUUUU